rnacentral:lncRNA from 1 species
AAAGACCGGAGCCCUAGCUCCGGUGGUGUGUUGUCAUACCUCUCAGCCACAAGAUCCAUCUAAUUUGUUUUAAUCUCAGGCGUCCAUUAUGAUUACCAAGCCUGCAGCGCAUUGACUAAGGACCAUUGUGGAACGCGCGCGCUUGGCCAUUAGAUCUGCUACCUUAAUUAUUGAGGGAGAUCUGAUGACCCUUGUUUUUU